GACAGAGGGUGCAAACGUUGCUCGGAAUCACUGGGCGUAAAGGGCGUGUAGGCGGGAAGGAUAGUCAGAUGUGAAAGCCCCGGGCUCAACCUGGGAACUGCAUUUGAGACUGAAGAACUCGAGUUCGGGAGAGGAUGGCGGAAUUCCCAGUGUAGAGGUGAAAUUCGUAGAUAUUGGGAAGAACACCGGUGGCGAAGGCGGCCAUCUGGACCGAGACUGACGCUGAGGCGCGAAAGCGUGGGGAGCAAACAGGG
rnacentral:rRNA from 1 species